rnacentral:lncRNA from 1 species
CACUAGUCUUUUGUCACACAGAUACAAAUUGCUUUGAACAGUUUUACCCUCUGAGGUUCCUAAUCUACUCUGUUUCUUAUGUGAGAUACAAAAAGAUUUAAACAUUAUAAUAUGUCCAAACUAAACCACAUUUAUUCACUUCUAACAAUAUUUUCACUGAAGAACAAAACUUUUUAAAACUUUUUUUAUUUUUAGGUCAGCAGACCUAUUCUAAAUCCACAUUUUGAGAAACUGGGAGACUGGUCAAUCUUGUUCCAUAUGGAAAAUAGCUACCUACCCACAGCCCCUGCUAGGAAAAGCUCAUGUGAAGUAAAGCUUGUCUUUUUGCAGCUUCUUAUCCUCUAGGAUCCAGGUACCUGGUAUGGCCAUGUCUAGGGCAGCAUACAGAAAACAAAAGAGAUAAAAGAAUGAAGCUUUGGAGAAGGAACCUGAAGGCCGGAGGGCUUCUACACAUAACUGGGAAAUUUCUUGCAGAUAGAAGAGUGAUGGGAGACCAGCCAAGAUCAGCUUAUCUGCACCAGGCCAACAACUUGAACUAGUGAGGGAAGCUGAAGCCAUGCUGGACCAGUAUUGCUAAAAACAGCAGAGAUACUCUAUGGACAUUAAGACCGUAUUCUGAGGAAAUGAAAGGAAGGCAGUUCUAUUGCCAUUUGUGGAUACAGGGCUCAAUUUUUUAUAUAAGGGAAUGUGUGAUGGUGAAGCAAUAAUAAAAAAAAUAAAAAAUCCUAGAAUUGAUUCAAAUUUUCAAACUGAUUUGAAAAUCAAAUUCUAGUGAGAUUACAUGAAUUUAUCUGUACAUGCCAGCUACAUUUAUUUGUAGUAUGUGCCUCCACACCACACAGAUGCCCAGAAAAACAUUCAGAUGGCUUUCAGAAGGAUCAUUCACAUUCAUAAAGACUCAAGAGUGUCCUGCUGGCCUUUAGCAGCAUGCUUUUAGCUGGUAAUUAAUGGCUGCUCUCUCCCAUGGUGGUAAAAGCAAGUGUAAAAAUUCUGUCCUUCUGCAGUGACACUGAACAACCUGACUCAAGUGGCUCUUCACCAGGUAUUACCAUCUCCUAGUCCUAUUGCUACCUAAGAUUAAAAAAUGCUACUUAAGAUUAAUAAAAAAUCAUAAUGUGAGGAACUGCACUCUUCU